rnacentral:rRNA from 1 species
UAGGGAAUCUUCCGCAAUGGGCGAAAGCCUGACGGAGCAACGCCGCGUGAGUGAUGAAGGUCUUCGGAUCGUAAAACUCUGUUAUUAGGGAAGAACAAAUGUGUAAGUAACUAUGCACAUCUUGACGGUACCUAAUCAGAAAGCUCCGGCUAAAUACGUGCCAGCAGCCGCGGUAAUACGUAUGGAGCGAGCGUUGUCCGGAAUUAUUGGGCGUAAAGGGUACGCAGGCGGUUUAAUAAGUCGAAUGUUAAAGAUCGGGGCUCAACCCCGUAAAGCAUUGGAAACUGAUAAACUUGAGUAGUGGAGAGGAAAGUGGAAUUCCUAGUGUAGUGGUGAAAUACGUAGAUAUUAGGAGGAAUACCAGUAGCGAAGGCGACUUUCUGGACACAAACUGACGCUGAGGUACGAAAGCGUGGGGAGCAAACAGG